GAAUAUUGCACAAUGGGCGGAAGCCUGAUGCAGCGACGCCGCGUGAGGGAUGACGGCCUUCGGGUUGUAAACCUCUUUCAGCAGGGAAGAAGCCACAAGUGACGGUACCUGCAGAAGAAGCGCCGGCUAACUACGUGCCAGCAGCCGCGGUAAUACUUAGGGCGCAAGCGUUGUCCGGAAUUAUUGGGCGUAAAGAGCUCGUAGGCGGUUUGUCGCGUCUGCUGUGAAAGCCCGGGGCUCAACCCCGGGUCUGCAGUGGGUACGGGCAGACUAGAGUGCAGUAGGGGAGACUGGAAUUCCUGGUGUAGCGGUGAAAUGCGCAGAUAUCAGGAGGAACACCGAUGGCGAAGGCAGGUCUCUGGGCUGUUACUGACACUGAGGAGCGAAAGCAUGGGGAGCGAACAGGAUUAGAUACCCUGGUAGUCCAUGCCAUAAACGUUGGGCACUAGGUGUGGGGGACAUUCCACGUUCUCCGCGCCGUAGCUAACGCAUUAAGUGCCCCGCCUGGGGAGUACGGCCGCAAGGCUAAAACUCAAAGGAA
rnacentral:rRNA from 1 species